rnacentral:rRNA from 1 species
GCGGCGAACGGGUGAGUAACACGUGGGUGACCUGCCCUCAGCUCUGGGAUAAGCCUGGGAAACUGGGUCUAAUACCGGAUAUGACCUUCUGUCGCAUGGCAGUGGGUGGAAAGUUUUUCGGCUGGGGAUGGGCCCGCGGCCUAUCAGCUUGUUGGUGGGGUGAUGGCCUACCAAGGCGACGACGGGUAGCCGGCCUGAGAGGGCGACCGGCCACACUGGGACUGAGACACGGCCCAGACUCCUACGGGAGGCAGCAGUGGGGAAUAUUGCGCAAUGGGCGAAAGCCUGACGCAGCGACGCCGCGUGGGGGAUGACGGCCUUCGGGUUGUAAACCUCUUUCGCCAUCGACGAAGCCUUUGGGUGACGGUAGGUGGAGAAGAAGCACCGGCCAACUACGUGCCAGCAGCCGCGGUAAUACGUAGGGUGCGAGCGUUGUCCGGAAUUAUUGGGCGUAAAGAGCUCGUAGGCGGUGUGUCGCGUCGGUCGUGAAAACUUGGGGCUUAACUCUGAGCUUGCGGUCGAUACGGGCAUCACUUGAGUUCGGCAGGGGAGACUGGAAUUCCUGGUGUAGCGGUGAAAUGCGCAGAUAUCAGGAGGAACACCGGUGGCGAAGGCGGGUCUCUGGGCCGAUACUGACGCUG